GGUACUUACUAAAAAUUAGGCGAAUUAAAUAAAAAUAUAAUCGUUUAUCUGCCAUAGGACACUGAAGACGUUCUCCCGUUUUUGAGGUAGAGUUUGGAAUUUAUCUUCUAUCCUGGACAUCAGCUCAGAUUUUUUACUCCAUGAGGAUCUAUUGUUGUGUAUUGUUGCGUUUGACGCAGAGAAGACAAUUAGGUGGAGGUAUGUGUGGAAUGAAGAAGACUCAUUAUCAUCUUCAGACUCUUCCCCGUUAAAUCCUAACUCUCCAGGCAUAGGACAUGUUUAGGUUUCAGAAGUAUGCAAUCUCAACAUUGUCUCAUCCGUUGCGGAUCUGCAGCAAGGACACUCUGCCUUUUCCACGAUUGGUGAAUUAAUACUUCUCUUAUUGAUGACAUUUUUUUUAAACUGAGCAAAGCACAUGUGUCUAGAAAAAAUGUCCUACUUGUACAUCUGCGUUUGUUGAGUUUCGUGUAAAAAAAGUACUCAUCAAUAAAUAAAGAUCAGAAUACUACUC
rnacentral:lncRNA from 1 species